GCAGUAAUGCGUUAAGCUAACCAGUACUAAUUGCCCGUAAGGCUUGAUCCU
rnacentral:rRNA from 1 species